rnacentral:rRNA from 1 species
AGUUUGAUUAUGGCUCAGGAUGAACGCUGGCGGCGUGCCUAACACAUGCAAGUCGAGCGGAGAUAAGUUGAAGCCUAGCGAUUCUUAUCUUAGCGGCGGAUGGGUGAGUAACACGUGGGUAACCUGCCCUGCACUGGGGAAUAACAGCUGGAAACGGCUGUUAAUGCCGCAUAUGCGCACGGAGCCGCAUGGCUUUGGGCGGAAAGAUUUAUCGGUGCAGGAUGGGCCCGCGCCGGAUUAACUAGUUGGCGGGGUAACGGCCCACCAAGGUGAUGAUCCGUAGCCGACCUGAGAGGGUGACCGGCCACAUUGGGACUGAGACACGGCCCAAACUCCUACGGGAGGCAGCAGUGGGGGAUAUUGCACAAUGGGGGAAACCCUGAUGCAGCGACGCCGCGUGAAGGAUGAAGUAUUUCGGUAUGUAAACUUCUAUCAGCGGGGAAGAAGAUGACGGUACCCGACUAAGAAGCCCCGGCUAACUACGUGCCAGCAGCGGC